rnacentral:rRNA from 1 species
AACGAACGCUGGCGGCAGGCCUAACACAUGCAAGUCGAACGCCCCGCAAGGGGAGUGGCAGACGGGUGAGUAACGCGUGGGAACCUACCUUUCGGUGCGGAAUAACUUCGGGAAACCAAAGCUAAUACCGCAUACGCCCUACGGGGGAAAGAUUUAUCGCCGAUAGAUGGGCCCGCGUCGGAUUAGCUAGUUGGUGAGGUAAUGGCUCACCAAGGCUACGAUCCGUAGCUGGUCUGAGAGGAUGAUCAGCCACACAGGGACUGAGACACGGCCCAGACUCCUACGGGAGGCAGCAGUGGGGAAUAUUGGACAAUGGGCGCGAGCCUGAUCCAGCCAUGCCGCGUGAGUGAAGAAGGCCUUAGGGUUGUGAAGCUCUUUUAGUGGGGACGAUAAUGACGGUACCCACAGAAUAAGCCCCGGCUAACUUCGUGCCAGCCGCCGCAGUAA